rnacentral:miRNA from 1 species
AAAGAGGAAACUGAAGCUGAAA